GCUUAGAAGAAAAAGAAUGUUUCAUUAAUGACUGAGCUUCGCAGAAAAAGAAAAAGAAAAAUACCUUUCGCUUAAGACUACCAGAAACUUAAAGGCCUUACGAAGCAGAUGUUGCGCCUAUAACAAUUUAACACGUUACGCAUUAAGAUAAUUUAGGACACAGUUCAAACAUUAGCUGACUUUGCGCAUUCGAUUUUUCGAUGAAGUUUUCUAUUGGGAAUAUCUUCUUUAUGCAUCAAAGAGGACUGGCAAAACUCUUUUAAUAAUCCUGGAUGAAUUAUAUGGAUAUAUUUUUUGAAUGUGUAAAUACUGUAUCCCGCAAGUUACGUAAAUCCCACUUGUGUUACAAGAUGC